CCUACGGGAGGCAGCAGUAGGGAAUCUUCCGCAAUGGACGAAAGUCUGACGGAGCAACGCCGCGUGAACGAUGAAGGCCUUCGGGUCGUAAAGUUCUGUUGUUAGGGAAGAACAAGUACCGGAGUAACUGCCGGUACCUUGACGGUACCUAACCAGAAAGCCACGGCUAACUACGUGCCAGCAGCCGCGGUAAUACGUAGGUGGCAAGCGUUGUCCGGAAUUAUUGGGCGUAAAGCGCGCGCAGGCGGUCCUUUAAGUCUGAUGUGAAAGCCCACGGCUCAACCGUGGAGGGUCAUUGGAAACUGGGGGACUUGAGUACUGAAGAGGAAAGUGGAAUUCCACGUGUAGCGGUGAAAUGCGUAGAGAUGUGGAGGAACACCAGUGGCGAAGGCGACUUUCUGGUCAGUAACUGACGCUGAGGCGCGAAAGCGUGGGGAGCAAACAGGAUUAGAUACCCUGGUAGUCCACGCCGUAAACGAUGAGUGCUAAGUGUUAGAGGGUUUCCGCCCUUUAGUGCUGCAGCUAACGCAUUAAGCACUCCGCCUGGGGAGUACGGCCGCAAGGCUGAAACUCAAAGGAAUUGACGG
rnacentral:rRNA from 1 species